UACGUAGGGUGCUAGCGUUGUUCGGAAUCAUUGGGCGUAAAGCGGGUGUAGGUGGUUACACAAGUUGAAUGUGAAAGCCCUCGGCUCAACCGAGGAAGUGCAUUCAAAACUAUGUAGCUAGAAGACAGUAGAGGGAGGUGGAAUUCCUAGUGUAGAGGUGAAAUUCGUAGAUAUUAGGAGGAAUACCUGAGGCGAAGGCGGCCUCCUGGGCUGUUCUUGACACUGAGACCCGAAAGCGUGGGUAGCAAACAGG
rnacentral:rRNA from 1 species